rnacentral:rRNA from 1 species
GUCGAACGCGUCUCCGUUAAUGAUUUUAGGUGCUUGCAUUUGAAAGACUUAACAUUGAGACGAGUGGCGAACUGGUGAGUAACACGUGGGUGACCUGCCCUUGAAGUAGGGGAUAACACUUGGAAACAGGUGCUAAUACCGUAUAACAACCAAAACCACCUGGUUUUGGUUUAAAAGACGGCUUCGGCUGUCACUUUAGGAUGGACCCGCGGCGUAUUAGCUUGUUGGUAAGGUAACGGCCUACCAAGGCGAUGAUACGUAGCCGACCUGAGAGGGUAAUCGGCCACAUUGGGACUGAGACACGGCCCAAACUCCUACGGGAGGCAGCAGUAGGGAAUCUUCCACAAUGGACGAAAGUCUGAUGGAGCAACGCCGCGUGAGUGAUGAAGGGUUUCGGCUCGUAAAACUCUGUUGUUGGAGAAGAACAGGUGUCAGAGUAACUAUUGACAUCUUGACGGUAUCCAACCAGAAAGCCACGGCUAACUACGUGCCAGCAGCCGCGGUAAUACGUAGGUGGCAAGCGUUGUCCGGAUUUAUUGGGCGUAAAGCGAGCGCAGGCGGUUUUUUAGGUCUGAUGUGAAAGCCUUCGGCUUAACCGGAGAAGUGCAUCGGAAACCGGGAGACUUGAGUGCAGAAGAGGACAGUGGAACUCCAUGUGUAGCGGUGAAAUGCGUAGAUAUAUGGAAGAACACCAGUGGCGAAGGCGGCUGUCUGGUCUGUAACUGACGCUGAGGCUCGAAAGCAUGGGUAGCGAACAGGAUUAGAUACCCUGGUAGUCCAUGCCGUAAACGAUGAGUGCUAAGUGUGGGAGGGUUUCCGCCCUUCAGUGCUGCAGCUAACGCAUUAAGCACUCCGCCUGGGGAGUACGACCGC